rnacentral:rRNA from 1 species
AUUGAACGCUGGCGGCAGGCCUAACACAUGCAAGUCGAAUGGUAACAGGAAACAGCUUGCUGUUUCGCUGACGAGUGGCGGACGGGUGAGUAAUGUCUGGGAAACUGCCUGAUGGAGGGGGAUAACUACUGGAAACGGUAGCUAAUACCGCAUAACGUCGCAAGACCAAAGAGGGGGACCUUCGGGCCUCUUGCCAUCAGAUGUGCCCAGAUGGGAUUAGCUAGUAGGUGGGGUAACGGCUCACCUAGGCGACGAUCCCUAGCUGGUCUGAGAGGAUGACCAGCCACACUGGAACUGAGACACGGUCCAGACCCCUACGGGAGGCAGCAGUGGGGAAUAUUGCACAAUGGGCGCAAGCCUGAUGCAGCCAUGCCGCGUGUAUGAAGAAGGCCUUCGGGUUGUAAAGUACUUUCAGCGGGGAGGAAGGGAGUAAAGUUAAUACCUUUGCUCAUUGACGUUACCCGCAGAAGAAGCACCGGCUAACUCCGU